GGGUGUAUGGCUAAAUAGUAUAGCACUUACCUAGAAUACAAGGAGGCCCUAGGUUCAAUUCCCAGCACUGCCA
rnacentral:tRNA from 1 species